GUGUCAGCCGCCGCGGUAAUACGUAGGGCGCAAGCGUUGUCCGGAAUUAUUGGGCGUAAAGAGCUCGUAGGCGGUUUGUCGCGUCUGCUGUGAAAGCCCGGGGCUUAACUCCGGGUGUGCAGGGGGUACGGGCAGACUAGGGUGCAGGAGGGGAGACUGGAAUUCGUGGUGUAGCGGUGGAAUGCGCAGAUAUCAGGAGGAACACCGAUGGCGAAGGCAGGUCUCGGGGCUAUUUCUGACGCUGAGGGGCGAAAGCAGGGGGAGCGAACAGGAUUAGAUACCCUGGUAGUCCGUGCUGUAA
rnacentral:rRNA from 1 species